GAUGAACGCUGGCGGCGUGCCUAAUACAUGCAAGUCGAGCGAACAGACGAGGAGCUUGCUCCUCUGGCGUUAGCGGCGGACGGGUGAGUAACACGUGGAUAACCUACCUAUAAGACUGGGAUAACUUCGGGAAACCGGAGCUAAUACCGGAUAAUAUAUUGAACCGCAUGGUUCAAUAGUGAAAGACGGUUUUGCUGUCACUUAUAGAUGGAUCCGCGCCGCAUUAGCUAGUUGGUAAGGUAACGGCUUACCAAGGCAACGAUGCGUAGCCGACCUGAGAGGGUGAUCGGCCACACUGGAACUGAGACACGGUCCAGACUCCUACGGGAGGCAGCAGUAGGGAAUCUUCCGCAAAGGGCGAAAGCCUGACGGAGCAAAGCCGCGUGAGUGAUGAAGGUCUUCGGAUCGUAAAACUCUGUUAUUAGGGAAGAACAAAUGUGUAAGUAACUAUGCACGUCUUGACGGUACCUAAUCAGAAAGCCACGGCUAACUACGUG
rnacentral:rRNA from 1 species